AUAUAUAUGUGUGUGUGUGUGUGUGUGUGGCUAAGAUCAAAGUGUAUCAUCUGUUCUUAGCCUAAUAUCUGAUAUGGUCCUUAUUUGGGGCUAUUGAAAUUAAACUAACUUUUAGAAUAAGGCAAAGAGUUAGGAACUUGCUCCACCUUUGCCACAGGUUGACAUGGGAUUGCAGUACAUCAAGGAUUCAGCCCAUCUCUA
rfam:Octopus bimaculoides Scaffold196453_contig_7, whole genome shotgun sequence.